UACGAAGGGGGCUAGCGUUGCUCGGAAUCACUGGGCGUAAAGCGCACGUAGGCGGCUUUUUAAGUCAGGGGUGAAAUCCUGGAGCUCAACUCCAGAACUGCCUUUGAUACUGAGAGGCUCGAGUCCGGGAGAGGUGAGUGGAACUGCGAGUGUAGAGGUGAAAUUCGUAGAUAUUCGCAAGAACACCAGUGGCGAAGGCGGCUCACUGGCCCGGUACUGACGCUGAGGUGCGAAAGCGUGGGGAGCGAUCCGG
rnacentral:rRNA from 1 species